rnacentral:rRNA from 1 species
UACGGAGGGGGCUAGCGUUGUCCGGAAUUAUUGGGCGUAAAGAGCUCGUAGGCGGUGUGUCACGUCGGCCGUGAAAACCUGCAGCUUAACUGUGGGCGUGCGGUCGAUACGGGCAUCACUGGAGUUCGGCAGGGGAGACUGGAAUUCCUGGUGUAGCGGUGAAAUGCGCAGAUAUCAGGAGGAACACCGGUGGCGAAGGCGGGUCUCUGGGCCGAUACUGACGCUGAGGAGCGAAAGCGUGGGGAGCAAACAGG